GGGCGGCUGGCGCAAUGGUAGCGCGUUGCUCUCCUAUCCUCGGAGUGGAGCGCAAGCAAAGGUUGCAGGUUCGAGUCCUGCGUCGCUCG